rnacentral:rRNA from 1 species
UACGUAGGUGGCAAGCGUUGUCCGGAUUUACUGGGCGUAAAGAGCGCGCAGGCGGUCGAUCAAGUCGCGUAUGAAAGCCCCCGGCUCAACUGGGGAGGGUCACGCGAUACUGAUCGACUCGAAGGCAGGAGAGGGUAGUGGAAUUCCCGGUGUAGUGGUGAAAUGCGUAGAUAUCGGGAGGAACACCAGUGGCGAAGGCGACUACCUGGCCUGUUCUUGACGCUGAGGCGCGAAAGCUAGGGGAGCAAACGGG